rnacentral:rRNA from 1 species
CCCUUAGAUGUUCUCGGCCGCACACGCGCUACACUGAAAGAGGCAACGUGUUUGCCUGAUUCGAAAGAAUUGGGUAACCCCCUAAUCUCUUUCGUGCUGAGGAUUGAGGUUUGCAAUUAUCCUUCAUGAACGAGGAAUUCCCAGUAAGUGCGAGUCAUUAUCUCGCGCUGACUACGUCCCUGCCCUUUGUACACACCGCCCGUCGCUACUACCGAUUGAAUGAUUUAGUGAGGACUUCGGACUGAGUCCAAUGCGGCUUUCGGGCUGCGUUGGUAUUUCGGAAAGAUGUCCAAACUGUAUCAUUUAGAGGAAGUAAAAGUCGUAACA